GAUAUGGCUCCUCCAUUUGCUGCUGAUGCAGGGCUUCCCUGGUGGCGCCCUGGAUAAGAAUCCAUCUGCCAGUGCAGGGGGACAUGGAUUUGAUCCUUGGUUCCAGAAGAUUCCACAUGCUGUGGAGCAACUAAGCCCAUGCGCCACAACUACUGAGUCGAGCCUGUUUUCUGCAAAAGGAAAAGCCAGUGCAACGAGGAGCCAGGGCGCUGCAAGGAGGAGUAGCACCCCUCCCUCCCCCACCACUGCUGGCUGCAACUAGAGAAAACCCACGAAAAGCAACAAAUACCCAGCUCAACCAAAAAAUAAAUAUAGACACUUUUUGGCAGCUAAGGGGGAGGUAAAAAGGUGCAAAGAGCUGGUUCAUUGGAAAAGACCCUGAUGCUGGGAAACAUUGAAGGCAAAAGGAGAAGGGGGUGGCACAGGAUGAGAUGGCAUCACUGACUCGA
ensembl:lncRNA